AUUGAACGCUGGCGGCAUGCCUUACACAUGCAAGUCGAACGGCAGCAUGAUCUAGCUUGCUUGAUUGAUGGCGAGUGGCGAACGGGUGAGUAAUACAUCGGAACGUGCCCUGUCGUGGGGGUUAACUAGUCGAAAGAUUAGCUAAUACCGCAUACGACCUGAGGGUGAAAGUGGGGGACCGCAAGGCCUCAUGCUAUAGGAGCGGCCGAUGUCUGAUUAGCUAGUUGGUGAGGUAAAGGCUCACCAAGGCGACGAUCAGUAGCUGGUCUGAGAGGACGAUCAGCCACACUGGGACUGAGACACGGCCCAGACUCCUACGGGAGGCAGCAGUGGGGAAUUUUGGACAAUGGGCGAAAGCCUGAUCCAGCAAUGCCGCGUGUGUGAAGAAGGCCUUCGGGUUGUAAAGCACUUUUGUCCGGAAAGAAAUGGCUCUGGUUAAUACCUGGGGUCGAUGACGGUACCGGAAGAAUAAGGACCGGCUAACUACGUG
rnacentral:rRNA from 1 species